UACGUAGGGGGCAGGCGUUGUCCGGAUUUACUGGGCGUAAAGAGCGCGUAGGCGGAAGGUGAAGCGUGGCCUGAAAGCCCCCGGCUCAACCGGGGAAGGCGGCUGCGAACUGGCCUUCUUGAGGGCGAUAGAGGGGGGCGGAAUUCCUGGUGUAGCGGUGAAAUGCGCAGAUAUCAGGAGGAACACCAAUUGCGAAGGCAGCUCGCUGGGACGUUACUGACGCUGAGACGCGAAAGCGUGGGGAGCAAACAGG
rnacentral:rRNA from 1 species